rnacentral:rRNA from 1 species
GAUGAACGCUGGCGGCGUGCCUAAUACAUGCAAGUCGAGCGAACAGACGAGGAGCUUGCUCCUCUGACGUUAGCGGCGGACGGGUGAGUAACACGUGGAUAACCUACCUAUAAGACUGGGAUAACUUCGGGAAACCGGAGCUAAUACCGGAUAAUAUAUUGAACCGCAUGGUUCAAUAGUGAAAGACGGUUUUGCUGUCACUUAUAGAUGGAUCCGCGCCGCAUUAGCUAGUUGGUAAGGUAACGGCUUACCAAGGCAACGAUGCGUAGCCGACCUGAGAGGGUGAUCGGCCACACUAGAACUGAGACACGGUCCAGACUCCUACGGGAGGCAGCAGUAGGGAAUCUUCCGCAAUGGGCGAAAGCCUGACGGAGCGACGCCGCGUGAGUGAUGAAGGUCUUCGGAUCGUAAAACUCUGUUAUUAGGGAAGAACAAAUGUGUAAGUAACUAUGCACGUCUUGACGGUACCUAAUCAGAAAGCCACGGCUAACUACGUG